AGAGAGACAGGGAGAGAGAUACAGGGAGAGAGAGACAGAGAAGACCUCUAUAUAAAAAUGUCCAUUCAUUGAUGUAGAACAACUCUGUUGUAUAGUGAGUCUAUUGAAACCUGAUUGGUUGACUGUUAGAGGAGGCGGGUAGCCUAGUGGUUAGAGGAGGAGGCAGGUAGCCUAGUGGUUAGAGGAGGCAGGUAGCCUAGUGGUUAGAGGAGGAGGCAGGUAGCCUAGUGGUUAGAGGAGGCAGGUAGCCUAGUGGUUAGAGGAGGCAGGUAGCCUAGUGGUUAGAGGAGGAGGCAGGUAGCCUGGUGGUUAGAGGAGGAGGCGGGUAGCCUAGUGGUUAGAGGAGGAGGCAGGUAGCCUAGUGGUUAGAGGAGGCAGGUAGCCUAGUGGUUAGAGGAGGAGGCAGGUAGCCUAGUGGUUAGAGGAGGAGGCAGGUAGCCUAGUGGUUAGAGGAGGAGGCGGGUAGCCUAGUGGUUAGAGGAGGCAGGUAGCCUAGUGGUUAGAGGAGGCAGGUAGCCUAGUGGUUAGAGGAGGAGGCAGGUAGCCUAGUGGAUAGAGGAGGAGGCAGGUAGCCUAGUGAUUAGAGGAGGAGGCAGGUAACCUAGUGGUUAGAGGAGGAGGCAGGUAGCCUAGUGGUUAGAGGAGGAGGCAGGUAACCUAGUGGUUAGAGGAGGAGGCAGGUAGCCUAGUGGUUAGAGGAGGAGGCAGGUAGCCUAGUGGUUAGAGGAGGAGGCAGGUAGCCUAGUGGUUAGAGGAGGAGGCAGGUAGCCUAGUGGUUAGAGGAGGAGGCGGGUAGCCUAGUGGUUAGAGGAGGAGGCAGGUAGCCUAGUGGUUAGAGGAGGAGGCGGGUAGCCUAGUGGUUAGAGGAGGCAGGUAGCCUAGUGGUUAGAGGAGGCAGGUAGCCUAGUGGUUAGAGGAGGCAGGUAGCCUAGUGGUUAGAGGAGGAGGCAGGUAGCCUGGUGGUUAGAGGAGGCAGGUAGCCUAGUGGUUAGAGAGUUGGGCCAGUAACUGAAGGUGAAAAUCUGUCAUUCUGCCCCUGAUUCUUAACUGACUUGCCUAGUUAAAUGAAGGUUAAAUAAAGGUUAAAUUAAUAAAACAUGUAAAAGUCUGUGUGCAUGUUGAAGGUUAAAUAAAGGUUAAAUGAAGGUUACAUUAAUAAAACAUGUAAAAAUCUGACUGUUUUUGUGUUGAAGGUUAAAUGAAGGUUAAAUAAAGGUUAAAUGAAGGUUACAUUAAUAAAAGAUGUAAAAGUCUGACUGUGUGUGUGUCUUGUCUCUAGCUGUGGAGCGUUUAGGGUUGGGUUGGCUGGUGGUCGUUGACUCUUCAUCACUCUCACUGGUGCUCACGAUACGCUGGGCCUUUCUACCAGUACGCCUCAACAAUGACUUCCUGAAACACACACACACACACACACACACACACACACACACACACACACACACACACACACACACACACACACACACACACACACACACACACACACACACACACACACACACACACACACACACACACACACAGAUACAGAUAGACAUUUGAAGACCAGAAAGGUAAUGCCACUAGUCUGACCUGUCUGCGUUGUUGCUCUGCUGCUGGGUGUGAGGAGGAGGAGGAGGAGGAGGGACAAUGAAGAUGUUCUCUUCGUCACUGUCCUUCUCUCUCAGACAGGACAGGGCAUUGGACUUAGCUAGUCGCGUCGCUCUACUGCCAUCUGCUGUACUUGUCUUUCUCCCUCUGGAACAGGGGAAGGGGGGCCGGGAGGAGAGGAAGAGGAUGUUUUCGUACCAGUGCAGAAGAAAGGAAGAUGGGUCACAGUUGAGAUG
rnacentral:lncRNA from 1 species